GAUGAACGCUGGCGGCGUGCCUAAUACAUGCCAGUCGAGCGAACAGAUGAGGAGCUUGCUCCUCUGACGUUAGCGGCGGACGGGUGAGUAACACGUGGAUAACCUACCUAUAAGACUGGGAUAACUUCGGGAAACCGGAGCUAAUACCGGAUAAUAUAUUGAACCGCAUGGUUCAAUAGUGAAAGACGGUUUUGCUGUCACUUAUAGAUGGAUCCGCGCCGCAUUAGCUAGUUGGUAAGGUAACGGCUCACCAAGGCAACGAUGCGUAGCCGACCUGAGAGGGUGAUCGGCCACACUGGAACUGAGACACGGUCCAGACUCCUACGGGAGGCAGCAGUAGGGAAUCUUCCGCAAUGGGCGAAAGCCUGACGGAGCAACGCCGCGUGAGUGAUGUAGGUCUUCGGAUCGUAAAACUCUGUUAUUAGGGAAGAACAAAUGUGUAAGUAACUAUGCACGUCUUGACGGUACCUAAUCAGAAAGCCACGGCUAACUACGUG
rnacentral:rRNA from 1 species